GGGGCUGACUGGCUUUGACAGCGAGUAGAAGAGGCAGGUAAGCAUGCAGGGUUUUGGUUUUUGACCCUUUAAAAUAAUGACCAAAAUAUAAUUGGCGAAAAUAAUUACGCUCUUGCUGCGUAACUGAAUAAAGUAGGUUUUCACGCUUAAUUCCGAAACAAGGUUUUGGAACAAGACAUCGCCCGGGUGCUGUUGCCACGAAGCUACCCGACAAGGCGGUGCAAGUAAAUCGGGGCUAACAGAAAUUCUGCUCUGUGGUUUCUGUGAAAAUAAAAGAGAUAAGGUACCGGUCGGUGGCCCUGAUCCAGCCGGUGCACGAAAAACAAGUCGGGACUAAGCAUGUAGAAAGUUUGUUGCUUCCUUGUUUGGACGCGGGUUCGACUCCCGCCAGCUCCACUG
rnacentral:tmRNA from 1 species